rnacentral:rRNA from 1 species
AGCAGCCGCGGUAAUUCCAGCUCCAAUAGCGUAUAUUAAAGUUGUUGCAGUUAAAAAGCUCGUAGUUGAACUUCGGGAUUUGCUCAUUGGUCAGGCUUAACUGUCUGUACUGGUGUAACGAAUUCCUACCUUCUGAUAAAUCUUCAUGCCAUUCACUUGGUGCGUAAGGAAUCAAGACUGUUACUUUGAAAAAAUUAGAGUGUUUAAAGCAGGCUAUUGCUCGAAUACAUUAGCAUGGAAUAAUAGAAUAGGACGGUUGGUUCUAUUUUGUUGGUUUCUAGGAUCACCAUAAUGAUUAAUAGGGAUAGUUGGGGGCAUUAGUAUUCAAUUGUCAGAGGUGAAAUUCUUGGAUUUAUUGAAGACUAACUACUGCGAAAGCAUUUGCCAAGGAUGUUUUCAUUAAUCAAGAACGAAAGUUAGGGGAUCGAAGACGAUCAGAUACCGUCGUAGUCUUAACCAUAAACUAUGCCGACUAGAAGUUAAUUUUUAAAUGACUCGUUCGGAAACCAAAGUGUUUGGG